CUUCACCGACCCCAACAACAACGGCCGCCGACGCCCCUGGCCAUACGUCGCCAACAACGCCUGCGCCUC
rnacentral:antisense_RNA from 1 species